rnacentral:rRNA from 1 species
UACAGAGGUCUCAAGCGUUGUUCGGAUUCAUUGGGCGUAAAGGGUGCGUAGGCGGCGCGGUAAGUCGGGUGUGAAAUCUUGGAGCUUAACUCCGAAACUGCAUUCGAUACUGCCGUGCUUGAGGACUGGAGAGGAGACUGGAAUUUACGGUGUAGCGGUGAAAUGCGUAGAUAUCGUAAGGAAGACCAGUGGCGAAGGCGGAUCUCUGGACAGCUCCUGACGCUGAGGCGCGAAGGCUAGGGGAGCAAACGGG